ACGAACGCUGGCGGCGUGCUUAACACCUGCAAGUCGCACGGAAAGGCCCUGCUUUUGUGGGGUGCUCGAGUGGCGAACGGGUGAGUAACACGUGAGUAGCCUGCCCUUGACUUUGGGAUAACUUCAGGAAACUGGGGCUAAUACCGGAUAGGAGCUCCUGCUGCAUGGUGGGGGUUGGAAAGUUUCGGCGGUUGGGGAUGGACUCGCGGCUUAUCAGCUUGUUGGUGGGGUAGUGGCUUACCAAGGCUUUGACGGGUAGCCGGCCUGAGAGGGUGACCGGCCACAUUGGGACUGAGAUACGGCCCAGACUCCUACGGGAGGCAGCAGUGGGGAAUAUUGCACAAUGGGCGGAAGCCUGAUGCAGCAACGCCGCGUGCGGGAUGACGGCCUUCGGGUUGUAAACCGCUUUCGCCUGUGACGAAGCGUGAGUGACGGUAAUGGGUAAAGAAGCACCGGCUAACUACGUG
rnacentral:rRNA from 1 species